rnacentral:rRNA from 1 species
UACGUAGGGUGCAAGCGUUGUCCGGAAUUAUUGGGCGUAAAGAGCUCGUAGGCGGUCUGUCGCGUCGGAAGUGAAAACCCGGGGCUCAACCCCGGGCCUGCUUUCGAUACGGGCAGACUAGAGUUCGGCAGGGGAGACUGGAAUUCCUGGUGUAGCGGUGGAAUGCGCAGAUAUCAGGAGGAACACCAAUGGCGAAGGCAGAUCUCUGGGCCGUAACUGACGCUGAGGAGCGAAAGCAUGGGGAGCGAACAGG